GCCGGAGGCCAUUGCUAUCAGGGUUUGACUAAGCCAUGCGAGUCGAGAGGUGUAAGACCUCGGCAUACUGCUCAGUAACACGUGGUUAACCUGCCCUAAGGUGGAGAAUACUCCCGGGAAACUGGGGCUAAUGCUCCAUAGUGGAUAUGUCCUGGAAUGGUAUAUCCUCGAAAGAUCCGUCGCCUUAGGAUGGGACUGCGUCCGAUUAGGUUGUUGGCGGGGUAACGGCCCACCAAGCCUUUUAUCGGUACGGGUUGUGGGAGCAAGAUCCCGGAGAUGGAUUCUGAGACAUGAAUCCAGGCCCUACGGGGCGCAGCAGGCGCGCAAACUUUACAAUGCGAGCAAUCGUGAUAAGGAAACCCUGAGUGCCUGUCGAUGCAGGCUGUUCAUAUAUCUAAAUCAUAUGUGAAGAAAGGGCAGGGCAAGACCGGUGCCAGCCGCCGCGGUAAUACCGGCUGCUCGAGUGAUGGCCACUAUUACUGGGUUUAAAGCGUCCGUAGCUUGACUGUUAGGUCUCUUGGGAAAUCUUCGCGCUCAACGUGAAGGCGUCUAAGAGAUACCGGCAGUCUUGGAACUGGGAGAGGUAAACCGUACUUCGGGGGUAGGAGUGAAAUCUUGUAAUCCUCGAGGGACGACCUAUGGCGAAGGCAGUUUACCAGAACAGCUUCGACAGUGAGGGACGAAAGCUGGGGGAGCAAAC
rnacentral:rRNA from 1 species